rnacentral:rRNA from 1 species
GAUGAACGCUGGCGGCGUGCCUAAUACAUGCAAGUCGAGCGAACAGACGAGGAGCUUGCUCCUCUGACGUUAGCGGCGGACGGGUGAGUAACACGUGGAUAACCUACCUAUAAGACUGGGAUAACUUCGGGAAACCGGAGCUAAUACCGGGUAAUAUACUGAACCGCAUGGUUCAAUAGUGAAAGACGGUUUUGCUGUCACUUAUAGAUGGAUCCGCGCCGCAUUAGCUAGUUGGUAAGGUAACGGCUUACCAAGGGAACGGUGCGUAGCCGACCUGAGAGGGUGAUCGGCCACACUGGAACUGAGACACGGUCCAGACUCCUACGGGAGGCAGCAGUAGGGAAUCUUCCGCAAUGUGCGAAAGCCUGACGGAGCAACGCAGCGUGAGUGAUGAAGGUCUUCGGAUCGUAAAACUCUGUUAUUAGGGAAGAACAAAUGUGUAAGUAACGAUGCACGUCUUGACGGUACCUAUACAGAAAGCCACGGCUAACUACGU